UCUGGAGUUGUAAGCUGAAGAGGCUGUGACCGACGUGGGCCGGGUCCAAUUCCCUUGGAACAGGGAGUCAUGGAGGGUGAGAACCCCGUCUGUGACUCGGAUCCCAUCGUCCUAGUGUCGCGGUCUCCAAGAGUCGGGUUGUUUGGGAAUGCAGCUCAAAAUGGGUGGUAAAUCUCAUCUAAAGCUAAAUAUUGGCGAGAGACCGAUAGCAAACAAGUAGAGUGAUCGAAAGAUGAAAAGCACUUUGAAAAGAGAGUGAAACAGUACGUGAAAUUGUUGAAAGGGAAGCGUUUGGCAUCAGCCCAUGGCCUCCGACGAUCAUCCGGGCCUCGUGUCCGGUGCACUUGUCGGGGGUCGGGCCAGCAUCGGCUUCGUCCGUCGGAGAAAGGUCCAGAGGAUGUGGCUCCCUCACGGGAGCGUUAUAACUCUGGGCGUCAUACGACGUGACGGGGCCGAGGUCCACGGUGUUCUCGCCCAGGAUGCUGGCGUAAUG
rnacentral:rRNA from 1 species